ensembl:lncRNA
GUGAUCGCCUCAUCAUCCUCGUUCUCCCAUAAAGGGCCAGACAGUGCCACUACUCGACGCUGGAUCACAAUUGACAUAUAUACAGGAGUCCUGUUUGCUCUCCUGUACCAUGGUCUCCCCGUUCAAGCUGGAGCCCCGCAUUCCUUCCCUACCUCGCUUCUGUGCACCGACAGGAUCCCUGACCUCCCUCCAUUCCACAGCGGCACCUGUCCAGCUGCACCGGCCACCUUUCCACCACUGCCCACCUCACCUCUCCAAUCUCUACCUGUUGCUCAGAGGUCUUGGAGUGAAGAUCUGUCAGCCUUCAGCAGCCACUGCAGGUCCAAAGCAGUACAUUUCUAAAUAUGUUUGUUGGAUCAUUAUGAAAUCUUGUGACAGCAUUCAUGCUGGCAUGAGACCUGACAUUUCUGGUGACCCCAUGACCCUCCCUCCAGCUUCACGAGGCGCCCAGCAGGACAUCUGCUCUGCUCUUGUUUAGAAGGCAUGUGAAAUGUGGUUGUGACAAAUCAAAGAGAAAGUGACGUUUAUGUGUAGAUCUUAGAAGUGAGACAACUCUGAGAACAGAUAAAAUACUGACUUGCAUGUGAUCACUGAGACAAAUUCCUGAUAUUGUGCUGGUUUAUUUCGAAGCCAAUCAAGCUUUGCUUUAGAUCUGACUGUUAGCUCAAGAGCUGAUUAUUCCAGACAAAUAAAGGUCAGAGCAGUGAGAGAAAAAGGGGAGAAUUUCGAUCUUAAAUUGGGAUCAGGUUGAGACAAGAUGAAGGGUAUUUCUCUGUAGCUGAAUUCAAGAAGUGUGAGAAAACGGUCCGAAUCUGAUAUUGAUGUUAAAUUGAACUCAGUUAUAUCUUAGAGAAAAAGGCUGGAUGAAGAAAAAAUGUUAUUUGGAAUUUUCUUAUCCCCUGGCUAAUCUGAAUUCCAAAAGGAGUUAACAGUUCACUGUCCUACCCUGAGCAUUCAAUCAAUGGCUCAUUGCAAGUUAUUAAAUCCAAGUAAAUGAGAAAUAAUAUCCAGUGGGUUGUUUCUGGUGUGAAGCUUAUAGUUUUUUGCUGUAACAGCAUGGAAUCCAGCACUUUUAUUCAGCUAUGAUCUGAGACAAAUGCAAUUAAUCCUGCAUCGAUCAAACCUUCAUUUAGCCAAGGCUAGGUAGUUUGUAAUAUUUGUGCUUUGCCAUGUUCUCAUUUGUGCACUCAAUUCGUUUUUGAUCAAUAAGCUAUUAAAGGCUUGUUCCUGAGGCAGAACCAGUUUUCUUUUGGAGGUGGAGCAACUCCUGUGUGGGGCAAUAAUGUUUUGUAAAGGCCCGAGGCUAUCGUGACGACUGACAGGGGGGUUAAAAGAAAAUUAGUUUGCAUCCAGGUAAGCAAGGGUGGUAUAAAGCACUGUGUGUCAAGUUGAAUUCAUUGAUUCCUGUUAUGCCUGUCUACUUGGUGGCCUUCUGCAGGUGGGCGGUGAAAAAUUAGUCACCCUGAGGUGAGAGUGGACUGUUUGAGGGCAAUGGAUGGAGAUCAGUACUAAGUGAAAAGCUGUGAAUCAGAUACAAUUAAACUUGUGCUUUCUCCAUUCAGGAGGGGGCAUCCUUUUUCCCUGAAUAAAGUGCACAAAUGUGGGUGGAAUAAGUAAAAG